rnacentral:rRNA from 1 species
GUGGGGAAUCUUGCGCAAUGGGCGAAAGCCUGACGCAGCCAUGCCGCGUGAAUGAUGAAGGCCUUAGGGUUGUAAAAUUCUUUCGUCAGGGAUGAUAAUGACCGUACCUGAAGAAGAAGCCCCGGCUAACUUCGUGCCAGCAGCCGCGGUAAUACGAAGGGGGCUAGCGUUGUUCGGAAUUACUGGGCGUAAAGCGCACGUAGGCGGACUUUUAAGUCAGGUGUGAAAUCCCGGGGCUCAACCUCGGAACUGCAUUUGAAACUGGAAGUCUUGAGAUCAGGAGAGGUUAGCGGAAUACCGAGUGUAGAGGUGAAAUUCGUAGAUAUUCGGUGGAACACCAGUGGCGAAGGCGGCUAACUGGACUGAUACUGACGCUGAGGUGCGAAAGUGUGGGGAGCAAACAGGAUUAGAAACCCCAGUAGUCC